CUGUAGCGAAUUUAAAUGUAAAAUUAUCUUCGAAAAAGUCGACCAUUGCAUUACAUUCUUUUACAUAUUUACAUCCAUAAUGCGAUGCCAUUCCUUGGUUCCAUGGUUACGCCAAUUGCCACACAGUAUAUAGAUGUGCCAGUUCAUAAGCCGAACAUGUCGCAAACGAACUUCCGGAUUAGAUCUCAGGGUCUUCGGCUCUGGCGUUUAACUACCGCCGCAUAAUCAUGAGCCAGAUAGCCCUCUUUUUGAACCGGGGCCCUCGGCAUCGUCUUUUCUCCUGAAUUUCAACGGCUUUGACCGGCUCUAUUGGCCGAGACCCUCUUGGCCACAAGCUGCUAUGAUGCGAUCCCUUCCUCUUACCACGAAAGCAAUUCACCCCCUCAGGUGGCAGAAACCCUAAAAGCGCGCCCGCGAACACCAAUAUGGCCAUCAUCGUUAACCAGCGGCUUCACGCUUCUGGUCUUAUGGUCUUAUUCCGGUUCAUAUAAAAUACUGGUUUUUUCUGCGCGCUAUACAUAUCUCUAAAAAAGGGCAGCCGAUCGGGGCUUGGCAUGCCAUUUCAUGAUCGGGAGAGUCCUGAAAAUCGACUGCCAUCAGA